CGCGUAGGUGGUUCGUUAAGUUGGAUGUGAAAGCCCCGGGCUCAACCUGGGAACUGCAUCCAAAACUGGCGAGCUAGAGUAUGGCAGAGGGUGGUGGAAUUUCCUGUGUAGCGGUGAAAUGCGUAGAUAUAGGAAGGAACACCAGUUGCGAAGGCGGCUCUCUGGACUGUAACUGACACUGAGGCACGAAAGCGUGGGGAGCAAACA
rnacentral:rRNA from 1 species